rnacentral:tRNA from 1 species
GGAGAGGGCUGUGGCUCGUGGUAGAGCAUCACACAGAAGGUCCCAGGUUCAAUCCCUGGUAUCUCCA